rnacentral:rRNA from 1 species
GAUGAACGCUGGCGGCAUGCCUAACACAUGCAAGUCGAGCGAACGGACGGGAGGCUUGCUGCCGGGAUGUUAGCGGCGGGCGGGUGAGUCAUCUGUACAUAACCUACCUAUGAGACUGGGAUAACUACGGGAAACCGGAUCUAACACCGGAUAUUAUUUUGAACGGCUUGGUCCAAAAGUGCUCGACGUUUUUGCGGUGACUUAUAGAUGGAACCGCGCUGCAUUAGCUAGUUGUUAGGGUAACGGCUUACCAAGGCGACGAUGCAUAGCCGACCUGAGAGGAUGAUCGGCCACACGGUGACUGAGACACGGCCCAGACUCCUACGGGAGGCAGCAGUGGGGAAUCUUGCGCAAUGGGGGAAAGCCUGAUCGAGCAAUGCCGCGUGAGUGAAGAAGGACUUCGGAUCGUAAAACGCUGUUGUUAGGGAAGAACUUAUGUGGAAUAAUCUGCGGAGAUGAUGACGGUACCUGAAGAAAAAGCCCCGGCUAACUACGUG